UGCCAGCCGCCGCGGUAAUACGGAGGGAGCUAGCGUUGUUCGGAAUUACUGGGCGUAAAGCGUACGUAGGCGGCUUUGUAAGUUAGGAGUGAAAUCCCCGGGCUCAACCUGGGAACUGCUCUUAAGACUGCAGAGCUUGAGGACGAGAGAGGAAAGUGGAAUUCCAAGUGUAGAGGUGAAAUUCGUAGAUAUUUGGAAGAACACCAGUGGCGAGGGCGACUUUCUGGCUCGUAACUGACGCUGAGGUACGAAAGUGUGGGGAGCAAACAGGAUUAGAUA
rnacentral:rRNA from 1 species